rnacentral:rRNA from 1 species
GAUGAACGCUAGCGACAGGCUUAACACAUGCAAGUCGAGGGGCAGCAUGAUUUGUAGCAAUACAGAUUGAUGGCGACCGGCGCACGGGUGAGUAACGCGUAUGCAACUUACCUAUCAGAGGGGGAUAGCCCGGCGAAAGUCGGAUUAAUACCCCAUAAAACAGGGGUCCCGCAUGGGAAUAUUUGUUAAAGAUUCAUCGCUGAUAGAUAGGCAUGCGUUCCAUUAGGCAGUUGGCGGGGUAACGGCCCACCAAACCGACGAUGGAUAGGGGGUUCUGAGAGGAAGGUCCCCCCACAUUGGUACUGAGACACGGACCAAACUCCUACGGGAGGCAGCAGUGAGGAAUAUUGGGUCCAAAUUGGGACGAGAGUCUGAACCAGCCAAGUAGCGUGCAGGAUGACGGCCCUAUGGGUUGUAAACUGCUUUUAUAAGGGAUAAAGUGAGUCUCGUGAGACUUUUUGCAUGUACCUAUGAAUAAGGACCGGCUAAUUCCGUGCCAGCAG